AGCAGUAAUAUUAGAAAUAAAAACACGUCAAAACCGUCUGGGUAUUAUGUACAUGCAACAAGACGUUUAUUCCAAAAUACUAAGCAGCAUUAUGAACGGCGAUAACAAGACUAAAAAAAUGUAUCUUAGGUUGUCCUCUGCUUCGUUUCGAAAAAUUGUAACUCACAUUCCCAAAAAGCGCCACGGAUGGUCAGUGGAGUACGAAGUCAUUUGCUUAAUAAAGUCUUCAAAUUAUUUUUAUUGUUCUUACUCACUUCCAGCCUCCGUUGCUGUUGGCGUUCUUUGAACUGAACCAAACAUCCUUGUCAGUGCGCUUUUCCAGAAGGAUUCUGCGUUCUGAACUGCUCCCUGUAAAAUAGUAUUUUUAAUUAAAAAAAUACAUAACGCCUUUUCAUAUGUAAAUCUGAAAUUAAAUCUUACAAGUUA